rnacentral:misc_RNA from 1 species
AACCUAGCACACCUGCGGUGUGUACCUGCGGAAGGAUCAUUACAAGUGACCCCGGUCUAACCACCGGGAUGUUCAUAACCCUUUGUUGUCCGACUCUGUUGCCUCCGGGGCGACCCUGCCUUCGGGCGGGGGCUCCGGGUGGACACUUCAAACUCUUGCGUAACUUUGCAGUCUGAGUAAACUUAAUUAAUAAAUUAAAACUUUCAACAAUGGAUCU